UACGGAGGGUGCAAGCAUUAAUCGGAUUUAUUGGGCGUAAAGGGCGCGUAGGCGGUAGUGAAAGUCAGAUGUGAAAUCCCAGGGCUCAACCCUGGAACCGCAUUUGAAACUCCACUUCUAGAGGAUAGGCGGAGAAAACGGAAUUCCACAAGUAGCGGUGAAAUGCGUAGAUAUGUGGAAGAACACCGGUGGCGAAGGCGGUUUUCUAGCUUAUUCCUGACGGCUGAGGCGCGAAAAGCAAGGGGAUCAAACAGGG
rnacentral:rRNA from 1 species